ACUUCUUUUAUACGGGAAUAAAGUAUCCUACGUGUAGGAUUUUGUAUGUACCGUAUGAAUAAGCAUCGGCUAACUCCGUGCCAGCAGCCGCGGUAAUACGGAGGAUGCGAGCGUUAUCCGGAUUUAUUGGGUUUAAAGGGAGCGCAGACGGGAGAUUAAGUCAGUUGUGAAAGUUUGCGGCUCAACCGUAAAAUUGCAGUUGAUACUGGUUUCCUUGAGUGCAGUUGAGGCAGGCGGAAUUCGUGGUGUAGCGGUGAAAUGCUUAGAUAUCACGAAGAACCCCGAUUGCGAAGGCAGCUUGCUAAACUGUAACUGACGUUCAUGCUCGAAAGUGUGGGUAUCAAACAGGAUUAGAUACCCUGGUAGUCCACACGGUAAACGAUGGAUACUCGCUGUUGGCGAUAUACUGUCAGCGGCCAAGCGAAAGCAUUAAGUAUCCCACCUGGGGAGUACGCCGGCAACGGUGCAACUCAAAUGAAUUGACGG
rnacentral:rRNA from 1 species